AACAUCGUGAUACCAUUGUUUUUCAAUUUUUGGUUUAUAAUGAGUUUUAAACAAAGAAUGUGAUAAUAGGCUAAAGGAUUUUCAAACAAGGGAUGAUAAAUUCAGGAUUGACUUUUUGGCUAACUGGCUUAAAAAUAAAUAAAACAAAAAUAAGUUUCCUUUAUCAUAUCAAUUUACACAAGUAAACAAAAAGUUUUAACAAGAGUCAAUUCAAGUUCUAGAGACUAACAAACAUGAGUGAAAAAAAAAGAAAGAAAAAGAUAGAUUUUUGAAUGUUAUCCUUUAUUAGGCUCAAAAUUUCACAAAGUAAAUGAUCUACCACAAAUGAUGCACAAUUUCGAGCUUAGUCCUACUUAGCAUACUAAGAAUGUAUAACAAACCAAUCACAUCACACCACAAGUCUUUAAUCAAUAGAAUAUAAAAAUUACUCACAUAACACUUGCAACCCAAAAACCAACGAAAAAGCAUGCAAUUUUUUAUUUAUUUAAGAAAACAAACAAAAAACAAAUAAAAACAAAAAAAAACUGAAUGAAAGAAAAUAAAGUAAAUGGUUUCCUCCCCCAUAUUUAAGACAUACAUUAUCCUCAAUGA
rnacentral:lncRNA from 1 species